rnacentral:rRNA from 1 species
UACGAAGGGGGCUAGCGUUGUUCGGAAUUACUGGGCGUAAAGCGUGCGCAGGCGGUUUUGUAAGCCAGGUGUGAAAUCCCCGGGCUCAACCUGGGAACUGCAUUUGUGACUGCAUCGCUGGAGUGCGGCAGAGGGGGAUGGAAUUCCGCGUGUAGCAGUGAAAUGCGUAGAUAUGCGGAGGAACACCGAUGGCGAAGGCAAUCCCCUGGGCCUGCACUGACGCUCAUGCACGAAAGCGUGGGGAGCAAACAGG